rnacentral:rRNA from 1 species
UUGAACGCUGGCGGCCUGCUUUACCCCUGCCAGUCGCACGGCAGCGCGGGCUUCGGCCUGGCGGCGAGUGGCGAACGGGUGAGUAAUGCAUCGGAACGUGCCCAGUAGUGGGGGAUAGCCCGGCGAAAGCCGGAUUAAUACCGCAUACGACCUGAGGGUGAAAGCGGGGGACCGAAAGGCCUCGCGCUAUUGGAGCGGCCGAUGUCGGAUUAGCUAGUUGGUGGGGUAAAGGCUUACCAAGGCGACGAUCCGUAGCUGGUCUGAGAGGACGACCAGCCACACUGGGACUGAGACACGGCCCAGACUCCUACGGGAGGCAGCAGUGGGGAAUUUUGGACAAUGGGGGCAACCCUGAUCCAGCCAUGCCGCGUGCGGGAAGAAGGCCUUCGGGUUGUAAACCGCUUUUGUUCGGGAAGAAAUCCUCUGGGCUAAUACCCCGGGGGGAUGACGGUACCGGAAGAAUAAGCACCGGCUAACUACGUG